CUCAGACUCUUCCAGACUCUUUCAUUCACACAAACUCAAGAACAACUCAAAGGAUGAGUACAGAGGAUUUUCUCGUGCUCCUCGUGACUCUGGUUUACACUGAUGGACUGAAUAAUGUUAAGUUCAGCCGAAAGAAACAGGAUCUUUUCUUUAACUGGGCAUAUCCCUGCCAGAGAUCUCAGAAUAACACAGCAUAUAAUACUUUUAAUCGUCAACAUAUUCUCUCAGAGGAUUUUGACACAAACAGUGGAUGGGCUUGGGCAGAUUAUCUCACUAGAAAGGGUCUUUGUGGCAGAACACGUUUUCAGUCCUUCCUCCCUAAAUACUACAUCAAUAGCAUUAAGGGUAUCUGCAAUGGACAAGGCAUCAGAGACAGAGGAAACUUGUGCAUCAGUAGGAGUAGAUUCACAGUGUACAUUGUUGAAAGCUUUUUCAGGAAUGGACGUUGUGACGUUACAAUUAAUAACGACAGAUUUUAUGUUGUUGUUGCUUGUGAGGCCAUCUAUAACAAAUGUGUGCCUGUUCACUAUGAGAAACAAACUAGGGACCAACCGCCCCGUAACGGUCAGAUCUGCAGACCUCGCCAGAGGAUGUACUGAGAAUACAUUUUUCACCAUUGAUUAAAAUGUUG